UACAGAGGUCCCAAGCGUUGUUCGGAUUUACUGGGCGUAAAGGGUGCGUAGGUGGCGCUGUAAGUCGGGUGUGAAAUUUCGGAGCUUAACUCCGAAACUGCAUUCGAUACUGCGGUGCUUGAGGACUGGAGAGGAGACUGGAAUUCAUGGUGUAGCAGUGAAAUGCGUAGAGAUCAUGAGGAAGACCAGUGGCGAAGGCGGGUCUCUGGACAGUUCCUGACACUGAGGCACGAAGGCCAGGGGAGCAAACGGG
rnacentral:rRNA from 1 species